UGUUGGAAAGAAACCAGUUGAUGUUGGAGAUUGCUGCGGUGCCUGUGGAGACUGCUGCUGCUGCUGCUGGGUCUGGCUCUGAUUCUGGGCUGGUGAAAGAGGAGGUGGAGGUGGCGGCCCACUUGGCCUUGGAAAGCCUGGAGGUGGCAUGUUCGGCAGUGGAGGUGGCAUGUUCGGCAGUGGAGGUGGCAUAGAGCUGGCCAGCAUCCCAAAAGGUCCCAUUCCAAACAUUCCUCCACCAUUUUGACUGAAUUGCUGCACAAGUGGUGGCAGUGGAGGGGG
rnacentral:lncRNA from 1 species